rnacentral:rRNA from 1 species
AUUGAACGCUGGCGGAAUGCUUUACACAUGCAAGUCGAGCGGCAGCGCGGGGCAACCUGGCGGCGAGCGGCGAACGGGUGAGUAACAUAUCGGAACGUACCCAGUCGUGGGGGAUAACUAUCCGAAAGGAUAGCUAAUACCGCAUACGACCUGAGGGUGAAAGCGGGGGACCGAAAGGCCUCGCGCGAUUGGAGCGGCCGAUAUCGGAUUAGCUAGUUGGUGAGGUAAAGGCUCACCAAGGCGACGAUCCGUAGCUGGUCUGAGAGGACGACCAGCCACACUGGAACUGAGACACGGUCCAGACUCCUACGGGAGGCAGCAGUGGGGAAUUUUGGACAAUGGGGGCAACCCUGAUCCAGCCAUUCCGCGUGAGUGAAGAAGGCCU